rnacentral:sRNA from 1 species
ACGUUUUUUUCAUAGAGAUUUAGAUUUAAGGUUAGAAGAAUUGUGGAAGUCGUGAGACUUCCCUUUUUUUCGCCUUGACGGUUGUUCUCUUAUUGAUUUGAUAAGGAAUCUUCAGGUUGUUAAGAGGACAAAAAAAGCUCUUUCAUAAGAAAGAGCUUUUUU